rnacentral:rRNA from 1 species
GGGCCCGCACAAGCGGUGGAGCAUGUGGUUUAAUUCGAUGAUACGCGAGGAACCUUACCAGGACUUAAAUGUAAGUUGCAUGAUUCAGAAAUGGAUCUUUCUUCGGACUACUUACAAGGUGCUGCAUGGUUGUCGUCAGCUCGUGCCGUGAGGUGUCAGGUUAAGUCCUAUAACGAGCGCAACCCCCUAUCGUUAGUUGCCAGCGAGUAAUGUCGGGGACUCUAAAGAGACUGCCUCCGUAAGGAGUGAGGAAGGAAGGGACGACGUCAAAUCAUCAUGGGCCUUUAUGCCAGGGCUACACACGUGCUACAAUGGCAGGGUACAGAGGGUCGCCAAAACCGCGAGGGUGGAGCU